GACGAACGCUGGCGGCGUGCUUAACACAUGCAAGUCGAACGGAAAGGCCCUGCUUGCAAGGUACUCGAGUGGCGAACGGGUGAGUAACACGUGGGUGAUCUGCCCUGCACUUCGGGAUAAGCCUGGGAAACUGGGUCUAAUACCGGAUAGGAGCCAUUUUUAGUGUGAUGGUUGGAAAGUUUUUUCGGUGUAGGAUGAGCUCGCGGCCUAUCAGCUUGUUGGUGGGGUAAUGGCCUACCAAGGCGGCGACGGGUAGCCGGCCUGAGAGGGUGGACGGCCACAUUGGGACUGAGAUACGGCCCAGACUCCUACGGGAGGCAGCAGUGGGGAAUAUUGCACAAUGGGCGCAAGCCUGAUGCAGCGACGCCGCGUGGGGGAUGACGGCCUUCGGGUUGUAAACUCCUUUCGCUAGGGACGAAGCUUUUUGUGACGGUACCUAGAUAAGAAGCACCGGCUAACUACGUG
rnacentral:rRNA from 1 species